GAUGAACGCUGGCGGCGUGCCUAACACAUGCAAGUCGAACGGACAGACGAUGCGCUUGUGCCUCGCACGAGUGGCGAAGGGGGGAGUGACACGCGUGUAAAACGUCCCUGUCUGUGGGGUAACACCUGGAAACUCGGGCUAAUACACCGGAUAAGCUCCUGCAGCACGGGGGUGAAUGGAAAAUUACGGCGGUGUGGGCUGGAAUCGCGGGUUAUCAGCUGGUUGGGGGGGUAGGGGAGGACAAAGGCUUUGACGGGUAGGCGGCCUGCGAGCGUGAACGGCCACCAUGGGCCUGCGGUACGGCCCAGUCGCCUACGGGCCGCAGCAGUGGAGAAUAUUGCGCAAUGGGCGGACGCCUGUUGCAGCGACGCCGCGUGCGUGAUGCUGGCCUUCGGGUUGUAAACCGCUUUGGCCGGUGCCGAAGCCUGAGUGACGGUAAUGGGUAAGGAAGCACCGGCUAACUACGUG
rnacentral:rRNA from 1 species